rnacentral:lncRNA from 1 species
AUGAGCAGCUGGUACCUCACCCUCGCCUGUGGCUUUGCAUGUUAAAAUGCUUCCAGUGCUUCCAGUGAAACUCACCCAAAACCACAAGGGAUAAGAUAAGACUGGAAAAGAACUGAUCCACUGCGGUGUCUCCUCCUCCUCCUCAUCAUUAUGGCUCUGGGGUUUUCCUGACCUCUCUGUUUAUCCGGAUCAUCUCAAUUGCUUCACCAGAAACCUGUGAGAGGAUGUGAGUGUAGUGAUUGGGCAGAAAAGCCACAAAAGACCAAAAAGUACAAAACAACAUGAUGAACAUCUGCUAGCUGAGCAGAAUGCAAAGCUGCAUCUUUGGCUCCGAGUUACUGGCAUCCUGGAGAGAUGUUAAAAGUCCAGAUUUCAGACCUUUCGGCCUGCUCCCUCUAGGAUGCCAGUUACAAAGAAAGCUUUACAGAGAGUGGAAGAGAAAAAAAACACAACUUGAUGAACAUGUGCAUAGACUAGGAGCAAUACAUGUUGUGUUCACACUACAUUCUCUUUACAUCUGCCUAGUGAUCAACACUGCUGUGCAAUUGUUUGAGGAUUUUCCACAUUUUCCUUUAUAGAUAAGCUGAAGUUAUAGUCAAAACGACUGACUAUGCAAGACUGUAAUGACAAAGCUUUCCAGUAGUGCCAUGAGUCAGAGACAGACACUCAAAACAAAUGAAAUGCCUAAAAGCGGAAAUGACAAAUCACUCCUCUAAGUACGAUAUAUUUAUAGUCACUCAAAAAUACAAAAACGAACACAACACAUCUGCUUGAAGAAAAAAAUAUAUAUACAUAUUUAACUAAAAUUAAAACUAAAAUAUAAUUAACCCCAUAAAAUAAAAACAUUUCCAAAACUUGAAAUAAAAUAAACGUUAAC